rnacentral:rRNA from 1 species
GUGGGGAAUUUUGGACAAUGGGCGAAAGCCUGAUCCAGCCAUGCCGCGUGCAGGAUGAAGGCCUUCGGGUUGUAAACUGCUUUUGUACGGAACGAAAAGACUCCUUCUAAUAAAGGGGGUCCAUGACGGUACCGUAAGAAUAAGCACCGGCUAACUACGUGCCAGCAGCCGCGGUAAUACGUAGGGUGCAAGCGUUAAUCGGAAUUACUGGGCGUAAAGCGUGAGCAGGCGGUUAUAUAAGACAGAUGUGAAAUCCCCGGGCUCAACCUGGGAACUGCAUUUGUGGCUGUAUAGCUAGAGUACGGUAGAGGGGGAUGGAAUUCCGCGUGUAGCAGUGAAAUGCGUAGAUAUGCGGAGGAACACCGAUGGCGAAGGCAAUCCCCUGGACCUGUACUGACGCUCAUGCACGAAAGCGUGGGGAGCAAACAGGAUUAGAAACCCGGGUAGUCC